rnacentral:lncRNA from 1 species
AAACACAGAAUGGAUGUUUCUCAAAAAAAAAACUGAAAGUAAUUGCAAGUUGUACCCUACUAGCACAGAAUGAGAAAACACUACCCAAGAUACAUAUAAUUUAAAAUCCAUUAAUAACACAUCCAAACAUAAAGGAGGGUCCAAGAAAUACAUCGCAGCAUUUGAUUCUAAACUGUUUGCCACGCCCCUAAGAAAUACUCAUCACAACAGCCUCGAGCUGGCUGAUAAGUCUACUCAUCAGUACUCAUUAGAAUCACGGAAACGAACCGGGGUCUCCAACACAUCGGUGACCCGCUGGACCAGCCACGGGAGACGCACCUGAAUCCAGGCAAUGUUGCAAUUAUAUUCGAGUACAUGAACAGCAAUAUCCUUUAGCACUAUGCUCAGCUCUUCGACUCGGGCUGAGACCAGAUCCUCCUCGUCAAGCACUAAGCCCAAGGCUUCCUUAAAGCACUUACUCAGAUGUAAGAGCUUAAUUGCUGAGUUCUUCAUGAGUAGGAGGGCUUCCAGGGCGCCCCGUUCCAGCUUGGCCUCCAGAACCAUGAGCUGGGGUAACACAUCAUCCUCGAGCUUUUGGAUUUCCAGCGACAAGCCUGCCACGACCGAGAGGGAAUCCAGCUCCGGGCAUGCCCAGGACCUCGACUCCAUGAUCAGCGGGCAGAGGAGUGCAUACGACUCGCGCGCUAUGCGCACCGACUCCAGAGAGACAAGAUUCACCUGCAUGUCAUUGGAGUGGCCCAGCUCAUCGGAGCGGGCCUGCAGGGCUUGGAUUUGGGCAUGGGAGUGGAUUUUGUAGAGCAUCUUUUCCUUUUGGCGGCGAAGAAGACUGCAGCAGAAGAGUUGCUGCUACCAGCUGGUACAGCACAAACAGAGGAGGAUUUAAUGUCAGGAAGAGACCAUACAGCAGCAAAUUUGCAUUGUGCGACAGAAUAGUUAAUAAUAUGAAGUGAAAGCAAUUCAGCCAUGUAUUUAUACUGAUAGGCAACUAAAAAAAAAUAAAUACACUCAAUCACCCAAAACAGGAAAAUAAUUAACAGAGGGAAUAUAAUAUAAUUUGGUUCAAAGUAGAUAGAGAUCCCAUCAUUCAUUGUAUUAUUGUGAGCAAGAAAAUUGCAUCUCCAGAAUUACAACCGACGCUGUGUGUGUUACCAAGCAAACCCUAACUAAAACGUCAGACUGAUUCCUUAUUAUAAUCGAACCCUGGGUGGUGUUACCAAACAAACCCUAGUUAAAUCCUAUCCUAGUCAUACGAAUACUCAAAGCCAGGCAGGAAAGGAUACAAGACCAACCACAAUCGGAACGAGCAACUCCGGAGGGAGACCACGCUGGCUGGAUCCAAGACCUACGAACCAAUCGGAACGAACUCCAAGCUGAUCGGGAUGUACAAGCAUGUGCUCACNNNNNNNNNNNNNNNNNNNNNNNNNNNNNNNNNNNNNNNNNNNNNNNNNNNNNNNNNNNNNNNNNNNNNNNNNNNNNNNNNNNNNNNNNNNNNNNNNNNNNNNNNNNNNNNNNNNNNNNNNNNNNNNNNNNNNNNNNNNNNNNNNNNNNNNNNNNNNNNNNNNNNNNNNNNNNNNNNNNNNNNNNNNNNNNNNNNNUGGAGAGGAGGACGAGGCGUCGGGUGAUGUGAGAUUCGGUCGACAGGGGGUUGCGGGGAACGGCGGCGAGGCGAUGGAGGGCGGGGGGGAGACGGAGGCGGGCGGCUUAUAUAGGAGGGAGGGCAAGAGGGGUUCGGGGGGUAAAAGCACAGAGCCCAAUAUGGCCCAGUUUGUACUGUGACUAAAAGACAUAUUUUAAGCUUGUGAAAUAAAGACCAGACUUGGCUAUGCUAUGCAAAAAAAAAAGCCAUUAAAAAGGGGGAAAUUGAGAACUAAAAAAUCCCAUCGAUGCAAACCAGAGAAUGACAUUCGUCUUUCACAAAAAAGAUUUUGCCAUGGACAAGAAGAUGCAAUGGCACAGAAAAAAAUGUCAUGGCAAGUUGCUUUGCAAGUAAAAACCCCUUGAAAAAAGAUGAAAGUGAAAAUUUUCCAUGUUACCAUGUUGAUAUAGAUAAUUUAGCCAUGGAAAAUAAAGAGUCAAAAUUACCAAGGCGGUUUAAGUAAAUUUUCCAAGGCAGUAUUGGUAAGCAAAUUAAUGUGAAAGUUCCAUGGCAAUAAUAGUUAAAUAUUUUCCAUGUAGAUAUAGGUAAUUUAGGCAUGAAAAUUUGUAAAAUUGCCAUGGCAAAUAAAAAGAGUAAGAAAUGCCAUGGCAAUAAAAGUGAAAAUUUGCCGUUAUAUUUAGCUAAAAUUUGUCAUGCCAAUUGAGGAUUGCGAUGGCAAAAAAUAUAUUUAAAUUUAGGACCCGAUAUGGUGCUGACGAUCGGUUUGGGAGUACCCCAGAUCGAAUGUUUCGUUCGGUAUGGGAGGGGCAACGGUCGAACCCACUCGUUCGGAAUGAUAAAAGCCCUAGCCUGAACACCUCCCCAGCCCCUAACAACCCAAAAAGAUGAAUAAAAAGACUAGUAAUGAAAAAAAGAAAACACUCGAAUAUUUCUUUUCUUUUUGCUGUGGUAAAAAAGAAACAAAUUUUUUGCUUUGUUAAGUAAAACUGCCAUCAAUUUUCAAACGCGGAAAAUUGACAUGGGUGAAUAUAUUUUAACAACAACCCAAAAAAGGAAAAAGAAGUCAUGGCAAUUUCCAUCAUACAACACAAAAUAAUUUGCAAAUGGCAAAUUUAUAGCACAAAAUGUAAUGGUAAUUUUUCUUAAAAUUACAUGUAAUGUAUGAGAAAAAUGUCGUGUGUGAAAACACAAAACGGUGAAAAAACAAAGAAAAUACAUCAUAACCAAAAUCAUAUUAAAAUGUGCAUAUAUUUCACAUGGCAAUAAAAAGGUAAAAUCUGCCAUCUUAAUAAAGGUCAAAUAAAUAGUAAAUCUUGCCAUGGCAAUACAAGUUAAAAAUUACCAUGGGAAUUUAGGUAAAUUUUCCAUCUUAAUAAAGGUAAAUUAUCCAUGGCAAAUAAAAAGUAAAACUUGCCAUGGCGAUAAACGUUAAAUAUUGCCAUGGGGAUUUAGGUAAAAUUGGCAUGUUAAUAAUGGUCAAUCUGACAUUGGCAAAUAAUCGGGACGAGCUGAUCGGGAUGUACAAGUGCUCACCUCGGGCGGGUGUAAGAUCUGGAGAGGACGAGGCGCCGGGUCCCGUCCCGUCGGGUGAUGUGAGAUUGGGUCGACAUGUUGCGGGGAACGGCGGCGAGGCGAUGGAGUGCGGGGGAGAGACGGAGGCGGGCGGCUUUUAUAUUAUAGGAGGGCAAGAGGGGUUCGGGGGUAAAAGCACAGAGCUAGGGCUGCCGUAUCCGGCAUCCACCUCGCAUUCUCUGAUUUUUACCAAUUUAUUAAUAGUAGCAAAAAUGCCCGUGCGUGGAAGUAUUGUUUUUGGACAUAUAGUUUAUUGCAUGGUUACUUAUACUUGUAUCAUGAUAUUUAUUUAUUUAACUAACACAUCAUGUUUUUCAAUUUGUCUUCAUAUCACCCGUGAGAUUUAUAUAUAUCCACUAAUGCAUCAUGUGUUUCAUCAGUUUAUCUUGUGAUUUAACCCUGCAUGACACGCUCAUUCAACUUUGGAGCAAAUAUUUCUUUUAAUAAAAACUGAGACAUCCCUUGAUUUUGAAAUUAAAAAAAGAACAAAAAAACAAUUCUAGACCUAGCUAGAGUACCAAACCUAAAAUAAAACAAGAAAACUUGCGACAUAUACACACAAACAGAAAAAAAAACAUUCAAGGAUAUUGGCUUAUGGGUCCAGUGAGAUUGUAAAUUGUUUAUGCUUCCCUAGAUAGUAAAUACUCAAACACAGGCUUUGUCACACACAUUCUCAACCACAGGAUUAACAACUCUAGAAGCUUCAGAUGGGCCCUACGUGUCAUAAGGCCCAGUUCCAUAAAGUUAAGCCCACGUCGAUCUUUAUAGUGAGUCCGACUUUCAUUAUUAGAAAAAAUUUGAAAACUACAUCUUUAUCCUUUCACCUAAACUGCUUCGGCAGAUUUUCCAUCUCUAGCGCCGCUCAUCCGUCGUGCAAUCUUCGCCCAUCGUUGGCGCUGGUUUGCAUCCCUGCUGUCUCCCAACUUACCAACCGGGGCACAGGAUCACCAAGGCCACUGUCAUAGAUCAACUUCGUCGCACGGACAUCCGAGCUCCAGUUCGCACCGCAAGAGCUAAUACAAGGCUCCUGUGGUGGCAAAAAUUGAAGACCGUUUGGUUAGAGCAAAUGUGAACUCGUAGCUUUGUUAAGAAUGAAGACUGUUUGAAUGCAAAUUGCUCUUUAAAAACUAUUUUGUUCAAUAAUUCUCAUGUAAAUAACUAUUUUACAAAGAUAAACCAACCAUUUUUAAAAUAAAAACAUUGCAAAACCAAAUUAAAUCAUUACUGUCUCAUGAUUAGUCUCUUACACGCUCGUGAGUUGGAGAUGGCCAAGCAUCACUCCAGCACUCCAUCGUGUACCCGCUGCUACUCCGAGCGAUGCUGAUGCAGUUUGAAGCUUUUGACCCUCGUUGGUGUUUCAUCGAACACGGUGCGAGCGGACAUGAGGUCACCACCACCGACGCAUGCAUCAAGACAGUUGAGGAAGCAUGAGUUAAAUUAUCCUACUCAUGAUCUGGAGUUAGCAGUUGUGGUACAUGCAUUGAAGAUCUGGAGACACUAUCUGAUUGGUCACAAGAGUGAUAUCUACACCGAUCAUAAGAGCUUGAAGUAUAUAUUCACUCAGACAGGUCUGAAUUUAAGACAACGUCGCUGGCUAGAGCUAAUAAAGGAUUAUGAACCGGAGGUACAUUAUCAUCCAGGUAAGGCAAAUGUUGUAGCUGAUGCUCUCGGUAGGAAGAAAUAUGACAACAAUCGUAAGUUGAGACCAGAGGCAGAAGAGUUGUAUGCGGAGUUGCAACAUCUGAACCUUGGUAUUGUUGCUAGUGCUAUGGAGAUAAAAGUGAUUCCUACGUUGGAGCAAGAAAUACGUAAGGGUCAGCUAGAAGAUGAAAAGCUAAAGGAGAUAACUGAGAAUGUGGUGAUUGGUAAAGCACUUGGCUUAAGAAUAGAUGAGAAUGGAACCUUAUGGUUUGGAAAAAGGAUAUGUGUGCCUGGGGUGAAAGCCAUUCAUGAUACAAUUUUGCGUGAAGCACAUGAGUCAGCCUAUUCUUUUCAUCCUGGAAGUACUAAGAUGUAUCUAAAUCUUAAGGAGAAGUACUGCUGGUAUGGAUUGAAAAGAGAUGUGGCUGAGUAUGUAGCUAUAUGUGACACUUGUCAGAGGGUAAAGCCUGAGCAUCAGAGACCCGCUAGUUUGUUGCAACCAAUGAAUAUUCCUGAGUGGAAACGGGAAGAAGCCGGAAUGGACUUUAUAGUGGGAUUACCACAUACUCAGCAAGGUUAUGAUUCUAUAUGGGUAAUAGUGGAUCGUCUCACUAAAGUCGCUCACUUUUUGCCUGUCAAGACUACUUAUAGCGGGGCAAGAUUGGCAGAGCUAUACAUGGAAAGACUAGUAUGUCAACAUGGAGUUCCUAAGAAGAUUGUGUCUGAUAGAGGUACGCAGUUCACAUCCAUCUUUUGGCAGAAAGUGCAUAAAUCUUUGGGAACGAAGUUGAAUUUCAGUACAGCAUAUAUAUCAUCCUCAGACUGAUGGACAGACAGAAAGGCUCAAUCAGAUUCUUGAAGAUAUGUUGAGAGCUUGUGCAUUGUAGUAUGGUACUAGUUGGGAUAAAAGUUUACCAUAUGCGGAGUUCUAUUACAACAACAGUCACCAGAAUAGUCUAAAGAUGGCACCGUUUGAAGCAUUGUAUGGGUGUAAGUGUAGAACACCGUUGUUCUGGAAUCAAACGGGUGAAAGUUAAGUCUUUGGACCAGAUGUGCUCAGGAAUGCCGAGGAACAAGUCAGGUUGAUUAGAGAGAACUUUAGAGUGGCACAAACUCGUCAGAAGAGCUAUGCAGAUAAUCGAAGAAGAGAAUUAUUUUUUGAAGUAGGAGAUUAUGUCUAUCUAAAAGUAUCACCUAUGAGAAGUCACUAGUAGAAAAAGGGCCAUUUGUCCCGGUUCCAGAGGGCCAUUUGUCCCGGUUCUGGAACCAGGACUAAUACCCAAAACCUUUAGUCCCGGUUUGCUUACGAACCGAGACCAAAGGCCCUCCACGUGGCGCUGCCUGGGGCGGGGGAGGGAGGACCUUUAGUCCCGGUUGGUAACACCAACCGGGACCAAAAGGCGGCCACGCGUCAGCAGCUCGCAGUCGCUGGGGGUUUUGUUUUUUUGGAAGGGGGGGGGGGUUUGGGGUUUUGGAGGGUUAAUUUAGGGGUUUCAUAUUGUGUUAGCGAGCUAAUAGAGAGAAGUGACCUCUCUUUUUCCGUGCUUGGUCGACUGUAGCUACUACACAUAUAGAGAGAACUCGAUGCUAGCUAGUAAGCAAAUAAAGGAAACCAUUAAUUACACAAGAUCGUCAUGAACAUAUAUAGAGAGAAGUGACAUCUCUUUCUUCGUGCUUGGUCGAACAACAAGUUUUCGUAUAUCUAUCCGACGCUGCUACAUAUGUACAAUAUAUAACAUCCCUUACAACAAUUUCAAUUUCACAUGGUAUUCUCCUUGUUCAGGUAUGACGUGGUCAAGAAAGAAUCCCACCAAUUCCUCUUGAAGUGCUCGUAUGCGAUCAUGUGGUAGGAGUUCAUCCCGCAUCUGCCAGAUCUAAUUUAAAGAAGGGGUCAAUACAUAUAUAUGAAUGAAACUCAACACAGUUGAUGGUAAUAUAUAAAAUAAAAUUGUGAAUAUUGUUUACGUACUUCAAAUUGUUUCUCAGAGGAGGCCCGUUCAGAGGUAUAGUAGCGAAUGAACUUGCAUACGUAGUAUCCACAUAAAUGAGUGUUGGGUGCCUGCAACAAGCACUUUACGAGAAUAGAGUUCAAUCAAACUGAUAAGCAAGCAUGAUAAUGGUAUUGAUGAAACUAGAAUCAAUUAGAGAUGCGCGAAACUAGCUAGUACUACUUACUUUGGGGUGUGUAAAUCGCAGCUCCUUCUUCAGACCCGGAACCUUAGCGGUGAACGUUUUCCAAACCCUGGCAGGCAAAGAAAAUGAUUACUUGAUAUCAGGAAUGAACGAAAGUUGCCGAUAUGGUCCAGGUAUUGAUUGAACUUACUUCUGGAGCAUUGCAGUCAUGUACGCAUAAUACUUGGGAUCUUUACGGAGCGAGUCUAAGACAAUUACUAAUGCCCCGUCAAGGUUAAUGAUAGCAGAAUAUAGUGGAAGCUGCGCACGCAUAACUCAUCAAUUACAUUACUUAACCACGAGUAAGCAGAACCAAAUAUGCAGAAGAUAGUAACACUCACUUGAAGUUGUAAGGAAUGAGUAUUUCCCUUUUGUUAACGUUUGUAGUAAGUUGUUCUCGGUAUCUUCGGCCGCCUUUCGUACCGACCAUUCAUUUACGGUAUUUGGGCUAAUGAACCCAACAUCGAAGAUUCCUAUUUUUUUGCAUUCGACCAUCUUCAAUCUGCAUAAUAUAGUGGGGAUAAUUAUAUAUACAUGCAAUGAACAAGCUGAGCUAGAGACUUAAUUAUAGAAGUAAUACUUACAGACAGUAGCAAGUCAUGAGUUGUUUGUCGAGGGCCUUUUGAUUGUAUAAUUUAAAUAACUCCACAAAUUCAACAGGCAACAGGUCGACUCGAGGGAAGUCAUUCUCUUUUUU